CACGUAGUUAGCCGUGGCUUUCUGAUUAGGUACCGUCAAGACGUGCACAGUUACUUACACAUUUGUUCUUCCCUAAUAACAGAGUUUUACGAUCCGAAGACCUUCAUCACUUACGCGGCGUUGCUCCGUCAGGCUUUCGCCCAUUGCGGAAGAUUCCCUACUGCUGCCUCCCGUAGGAGUCUGGACCGUGUCUCAGUUCCAGUGUGGCCGAUCACCCUCUCAGGUCGGCUACGUAUCGUUGCCUUGGUAAGCCAUUACCCCACCAACUAGCUAAUACGGCGCGGGUCCAUCUAUAAGUGAUAGCAAAACCAUCUUUCACUUUAGAACCAUGCGGUUCUAAAUAUUAUCCGGCAUUAGCCCCGGUUUCCCGGAGUUAUUCCAGUCUUAUAGGUAGGUUACCCACGUGUUACUCACCCGUCCGCCGCUAACGUCAAAGGAGCAAGCUCCUUAUCUGUUCGCUCGACUUGCAUGUAUUAGGCACGCCGCCAGCGUUCAUCCUGAGCCAGGAUCAAACUCU
rnacentral:rRNA from 1 species